AAAAUUGUCCACUAAAGUUGGAUGCGAAAUUAAUAUGACGUAGCGUAGGCAACAUCAUUGUUUUGCUUUAUCAGUGCAGUUGGAUCGUUGAAUCGGUAAGUUAGGCUAUACUGUAACUGUACACAGCGAGUUCCCCAGUACGACGUUCUCGCACACGAAUGACAUUUGAACCGCUUCAUUUAAGCUAUUGAUUUUUUCAGUCAUAUGUCGUGUUGGUAGUAAAAAAUCUUGUGAAAGUGGUGAAAAAGGUAGUAAAUUCAUCUCUAUGAUUCCUGAAUAUACCCUGAUUGAAUCAUUUAAAAUAAACCACAGAGAUUGCAAGAUGUGAAUGAGCUUUGAUCAUUUAGUAAAACUGGUUAAUUCAGUUGGCCAUUGUGGGCUAAAAAGUUAGUUAAAGGUGAUAAAAAGCUUUAUUUUAUUAAAAACAUUCCUAUUUGGUAAAAUAAUUAAUGUUUUAUAUACAUUUUUACUUAAUAAUUGUCAUUUUAAUCAAAUUUUAUUAGAAAUAAUAAGUUGAAGUCACUUUGGGUAAGCCACUUAAAGGUACGGUAGGCCUACGUGUGUGUACAAGUUAAGAUCAGGAUGACACCACCUCCGCCUCCUUUUGUGCCAGGAAAAACCCUGAAAAUAAACCUUAUGAAUGUAAAUGACAGUUUUAGGAGAUGUAAGCUGCUGCUCAUUCCCCCUGAUAUUUAACACCCUGUCUCUCUUGUCUUUGUCAGAUCGUUUGUUUGGAGUCUCUGUUUGUUCCAACCAUUGUGUUCCUUCAUGCUCCUCCAGAGACUACUAUCCGGAUUGUCCGUGCCAGUGUUGUGACUCUUGCAUCUUUCACCGUGUGAUGUUGUCCGGGGCCCGAGGAGUUCUUACAAACAGAUUGAUGGCAACAAUGUACAUGGAUGGUUCAGGGGUGAAGAAGGCCUUUAAAAAACACGGCUAUGUUGUGUUAUAAUAGGUGGCAAUUGCAUCAGAGGGAGAAGACUUCACAGUGCCUCCCUAUACAUGGAUGUCAGCUGACGUCAAUCACUUGUCUUCCGCCAUUUUGAGGACCUGAAGUGGUCGCAAAAGAACUAGAAGCUAUGCCUUCAAUAUGCUGUGAGCAUCAAAAUCGCUAUUUUAACA